UGGCGGACGGGUGAGUAAUGUCUGGGAAACUGCCUGAUGGAGGGGGAUAACUACUGGAAACGGUAGCUAAUACCGCAUAACGUCGCAAGACCAAAGAGGGGGACCCUCGGGCCUCUUGCCAUCGGAUGUGCCCAGAUGGGAUUAGCUUGUUGGUGGGGUAACGGCUCACCAAGGCGACGAUCCCCAGCUGGUCUGAGAGGAUGACCAGCCACACUGGAACUGAGACACGGUCCAGACUCCUACGGGAGGCAGCAUG
rnacentral:rRNA from 1 species